UGGGGGACAUUGCACAAUGGAGGAAACUCUGAUGCAGCAACGCCGCGUGAGGGAAGAAGGUCUUCGGAUCGUAAAGCUCUGUCUUCGGGGACGAACAAAUGACGGUACCCGAGGAGGAAGCCACGGCUAACUACGUGCCAGCAGCCGAGGUAAUACGUAGGUGGCAAGCGUUGUCCGGAAUUACUGGGCGUAAAGCGCACGUAGGCGGACCAGAAAGUUGGGGGUGAAAUCCCGGGGCUCAACCUCGGAACUGCCUUCAAAACUAUUGGUCUGGAGUUCGAGAGAGGUGAGUGGAAUUCCGAGUGUAGAGGUGAAAUUCGUAGAUAUUCGGAGGAACACCAGUGGCGAAGGCGGCUUUCUGGACUGUAACUGACACUGAGGCUCGAAAGCCAGGGGAGCGAACGGGAUUAGAUACCCCGGUAGUCCUGGCCGUAAACGAUGGGUACUAGGUGUAGGAGGUAUCGACCCCUUCUGUGCCGGAGUUAACGCAAUAAGUAUCCCGCCUGGGGAGUACGGCCGCAAGGCUG
rnacentral:rRNA from 1 species